CUCUCCAAACACGAGAGAAUAGAGGAAGGUUUUCUCUUCCUCUGAACACCUCUCUCUCCCUCUCUCUUGUAACCUCUCCAUCAAAGAGGAGAAAUGGGAGAUUUUGGAUGCUUCAAGUUGGAGAAGCAACUUGGAAGAGCUCUCUAAUGGUGGAUCAAGCUUCUUGCCCAUGGUGGCCAAGGAUAGUAUGAUGGAGAGGACAACUCCAAUUUGGAUUACGACGAGGUUAUGGCAUCCAAUUGGAGGAAUUUCAUUCGUUAGGCUUGCAGCGUGCCGAGUCGACAUUGAAAAGCCAAUUGCUUUGAAAUCCUAUAAACUCAAAAAUGGGUUGGCAAUCGAACCCACUGGGAACUUCUUUUAGUUCUCAACCCCUAUUUCGUAGAGAUAACCACAAGCGGAGCAGCUCCAGACCGAAACGUGGGCGCUACGCACUGGAUAGCAAGGUCACCAAGUGUAGAUUACCCGUGUACAAGUAACGAGAAUGUAAAUAAUUUAGAAAUGGAAAUGUAAUUGAGAGCAAAGUUGUAUAUUAAGGAAAAAGGCAUGUAAUAUGUAUUAAAUUUGAAAAAAUAUAUGUAAAAAUGUAAUGUUCCAAUGUUGUAAUAGUUAGAUUUACAUUCUCGCUUUUGUGAUA